GCUUGUCUCAAAGAUUAAGCCAUGCACGUCUGAGAAUAAAGAGUUUUCUCUGAAUCUGCGAAUGGCUCAUUAUAUCAGUUAUAGUUUAUUUGAUAGUCCUUUACUACUUGGAUAACCGUAGUAAUUCUAGAGCUAAUACAUGCAUCAACUCCCAACUGCUUGUCGGACGGGAUGUAUUUAUUAGAUUUCAAUCAACACUUUUUGCUGACUCAUGAUAACUUAGCGGAUCGCAGAGGCCUCGCGCCGGCGACAAAUCAUUCAAGUUUCUGCCCUAUCAGCUUUCGAUGGUAGUGUAUUGGACUACCAUGGCAUUCACGGGUAACGGAGGAUUAGGGUUCGAUUCCGGAGAGGGAGCCUGAGAAAUGGCUACCACAUCCAAGGAAGGCAGCAGG
rnacentral:rRNA from 1 species